rnacentral:rRNA from 1 species
CAGUCGCGCGGGAAAACGUAGGUGGCAAGCGUUGUCCGGAAUUAUUGGGCGUAAAGGGCUCGCAGGCGGUUUCUUAAGUCUGAUGUGAAAGCCCCCGGCUCAACCGGGGAGGGUCAUUGGAAACUGGGAAACUUGAGUGCAGAAGAGGAGAGUGGAAUUCCACGUGUAGCGGUGAAAUGCGUAGAGAUGUGGAGGAACACCAGUGGCGAAGGCGACUCUCUGGUCUGUAACUGACGCUGAGGAGCGAAAGCGUGGGGAGCGAACAGGAUUAGAUACCCCUGUAGUCCCUGUCUCUUAUACA